CCCUCAGUAAGGGCGACUGAAGCGGGAACAGCUCAUUCUGUGAAUCUCUGCCUUGGCAGCGAGUUGUGGAAAGGCAUGUCAGCUAAGCUACUGGUCUAAGUCUCUUGGAAAAGAGCGCUUGAAAGGGUGACAGCCCCGUCUUUGACUGGUUAGCUGUGGCUUUAGCACAUGUUUUAUACGAGUCGAGUUGCUUGGGAUUGCAGCUCUAAGUGGGUGGUAAAUUCCAUCUAAAGCUAAAUAUUGGUGGGACACCGAUAGCGUACAAGUACCGUGAGGGAAAGAUGCAAAGAACUUUGAAAAGAGAGUUAAAGAGUACCUGAAAUUGCUGAAAUGGAAGCGAAGGAAACCAGUGCCAUUCUUCACUAUUUUUCUGUUCCUACUUGUGGGAAUAGCGCUGUGGUGUUGAAUAGGCCAGCGUGGGUUUGUACCGGGGGAUAACACUCAUCAGAAGGCAGCUAGAUUUCCUAGCGAUUGCUGUUGAGCUGUGCUCUGGUACAGACUGAGGCUAGUCACUUGUGCUCGUGACGCUGGCGAAAUGGUUUUCUUCACCCCGUCUUGAAACACGGACCAAGGAGUCUAACAUAUGUGCGAGUAUUGGAGUGGCAAACUCAAAUGCGAAAUGAAAGUAACAGUGGUAGGACCUUUUUGGGCACUAUCCGCCGGCCACAAUCCUUCGGGAGAAAGGUCUGAGUGUGAGCAUACAUGUUGGGACCCGAAAGAUGGUGAACUAUGCCUGAAUAGGGUGAAGCCGCCGGAAACGGCGGUGGAGCUCGUAGCGGUCU
rnacentral:rRNA from 1 species